rnacentral:misc_RNA from 1 species
GAUGAAGAACGUAGCGAAAUGCGAUACUUGGUGUGAAUUGCAGAAUCCCGUGAACCAUCGAGUCUUUGAACGCAAGUUGCGCCCGAAGCCAUCAGGUUGAGGGCACGUCUGCCUGGGCGUCACAUAUCGUUGCCCAAUGCCUAUUGCAGUGCAAUAGGAAUUUCUAGGGCGAAUGAUGGCUACCCGUGAGCGUUGUUGCCUCGCGGUUGGUUGAAAAUCGAGUCCUUGGUAGGGUGUGCCAUGGUAGAUGGUGGUCGAGUUAGAACGAUACCGAUCAUGUGCAUGCUCCCCAAAAUAUGGCCUCUAUGACCCACACGCGUCUUUUGACGCUCAUGACGAGACCUCAGGUCAGGCGGGGCUACCCGCUGAAUUUAAGCAUAUCAAUAAGCGGAGGA